rnacentral:rRNA from 1 species
AUUGAACGCUGGCGGCAGGCCUAACACAUGCAAGUCGAGCGGAAACGAGUUAUCUGAACUUUCGGGGGACGAUAACGGCGUCGAGCGGCGGACGGGUGAGUAAUGCCUAGGAAAUUGCCCUGAUGUGGGGGAUAACCAUUGGAAACGAUGGCUAAUACCGCAUAAUGCCUACGGGCCAAAGAGGGGGACCUUCGGGCCUCUCGCGUCAGGAUAUGCCUAGGUGGGAUUAGCUAGUUGGUGAGGUAAUGGCUCACCAAGGCGACGAUCCCUAGCUGGUCUGAGAGGAUGAUCAGCCACACUGGAACUGAGACACGGUCCAGACUCCUACGGGAGGCAGCAGUGGGGAAUAUUGCACAAUGGGCGCAAGCCUGAUGCAGCCAUGCCGCGUGUGUGAAGAAGGCCUUCGGGUUGUAAAGCACUUUCAGUCGUGAGGAAGGUGGUGUAGUUAAUAGCUGCAUUAUUUGACGUUAGCGACAGAAGAAGCACCGGCUAACUCCGUGCCAGCAGCCGCGGUAAUACGGAGGGUGCGAGCGUUAAUCGGAAUUACUGGGCGUAAAGCGCAUGCAGGUGGUUUGUUAAGUCAGAUGUGAAAGCCCGGGGCUCAACCUCGGAAUAGCAUUUGAAACUGGCAGACUAGAGUACUGUAGAGGGGGGUAGAAUUUCAGGUGUAGCGGUGAAAUGCGUAGAGAUCUGAAGGAAUACCGGUGGCGAAGGCGGCCCCCUGGACAGAUACUGACACUCAGAUGCGAAAGCGUGGGGAGCAAACAGGAUUAGAUACCCUGGUAGUCCACGCCGUAAACGAUGUCUACUUGGAGGUUGUGGCCUUGAGCCGUGGCUUUCGGAGCUAACGCGUUAAGUAGACCGCCUGGGGAGUACGGUCGCAAGAUUAAAACUCAAAUGAAUUGACGGGGGCCCGCACAAGCGGUGGAGCAUGUGGUUUAAUUCGAUGCAACGCGAAGAACCUUACCUACUCUUGACAUCCAGAGAACUUUCCAGAGAUGGAUUGGUGCCUUCGGGAACUCUGAGACAGGUGCUGCAUGGCUGUCGUCAGCUCGUGUUGUGAAAUGUUGGGUUAAGUCCCGCAACGAGCGCAACCCUUAUCCUUGUUUGCCAGCGAGUAAUGUCGGGAACUCCAGGGAGACUGCCGGUGAUAAACCGGAGGAAGGUGGGGACGACGUCAAGUCAUCAUGGCCCUUACGAGUAGGGCUACACACGUGCUACAAUGGCGCAUACAGAGGGCAGCAAGCUAGCGAUAGUGAGCGAAUCCCAAAAAGUGCGUCGUAGUCCGGAUUGGAGUCUGCAACUCGACUCCAUGAAGUCGGAAUCGCUAGUAAUCGUGGAUCAGAAUGCCACGGUGAAUACGUUCCCGGGCCUUGUACACACCGCCCGUCACACCAUGGGAGUGGGCUGCAAAAGAAGUAGGUAGUUUAACCUUCGGGAGGACG